GACGAACGCUGGCGGCGUGCUUAACACAUGCAAGUCGAACGGAAAGGCCCUGCUUUUGUGGGGUGCUCGAGUGGCGAAAGGGUGAGUAACACGUGAGUAACCUGCCCUUGACUUUGGGAUAACUUCAGGAAACUGGGGCUAAUACCGGAUAGGAGCUCCUGCUGCAUGGUGGGGGUUGGAAAGUUUCGGCGGUUGGGGAUGGACUCGCGGCUUAUCAGCUUGUUGGUGGGGUAGUGGCUUACCAAGGCUUUGACGGGUAGCCGGCCUGAGGGGGUGACCGGCCACAUUGGGACUGAGAUACGGCCCAGACUCCUACGGGAGACAGCAGUGGGGAAUAUUGCACAAUGGGCGGAAGCCUGAUGCAGCAACGCCGCGUGCGGGAUGACGGCCUUCGGGUUGUAAACCGCUUUCGCCUGUGACGAAGCGUGAGUGACGGUAAUGGGUAAAGAAGCACCGGCUAACUACGUG
rnacentral:rRNA from 1 species